GAUGAACGCUGGCGGCGUGCCUAAUACAUGCAAGUCGAGCGAACAGAUAAGGAGCUUGCUCCUUUGACGUUAGCGGCGGACGGGUGAGUAACACGUGGGUCACCUAUCUCUAAGACUGGAAUAACUCCGGGAAACCGGGGCUAAUGCCGGAUAACAUGUUGAACCGCAUGGUUCUACAGUGAAAGGCGGCUUUGCUGUCACUUAUAGAUGGACCCGCGGCGUAUUAGCUAGUUGGUGAGGUAACGGCCCACCAAGGCAACGAUACGUAGCCGACCUGAGAGGGUGAUCGGGCACACUGGGACUGAGACACGGUCCAAACUCCUAAGGGAGGCAGCAGUAGGGAAUCAUCCGAAAUGGGCGAAAGCCUGACGGAGCAACGCCGCGGGAGUGAUGAAGGUCUUCGGAUCGUAAAACUCUGUUAUUAGGGAAGAACAAAUGCGUAAGUAACUGUGCGCGUCUUGACGGUAACUAAUCAGAAAGCCACGGCUAACUACGUG
rnacentral:rRNA from 1 species